CCCAACCAUUCCCAGUCUCUGUUUAAGCCUGAUUAAUUGGAUCUAAUUUGCACAUUAAUUCGAGUUCAGUAGUCUCUCUUUGGAGUCUGUUUUUCAAGUUUUUUUGUUGCAAAAUUGCCACCUUCAAGU